rnacentral:rRNA from 1 species
UCCCGUUGAUCCUGCGGGAGGUCGCUGCUAUGGGAGUUAGACUAAGCCAUGCAAGCGUGGAAUUUUUCUUCGGAAUUGUUCCCGCGAACUGCUCAGUAACACGUCGGUAAUUUGCCUUCAGGUUCGGGAUAACCUCGGGAAACUGAGGACAAGCCCGAAUAAGGAACAGAUUCUGGAAAGCACUGUUCUUGAAACUUCGGGCCUGAAGAUAAGCCGGCGGCGGAUUAGGUUGUUGGUGGGGUAAUGGCCCACCAAGCCUUAGAUCCGUACGGGCCCUGAGAGGGGGAGCCCGGAGAGGGACACUGAGAUACUGGUCCCAGCCCUACGGGGUGCAGCAGGCGCGAAACCUUUACAAUGCGCGUAUGCGUGAUAAGGUAACUCCCAGUGCCAUUGCACAAGCAAUGGCUUUUGCCAAGGGCAGGGACCUUGGCGAAUAAGGGGUGGGUAAGACCGGUGCCAGCCGCCGCGGUAACCCCGGCGCCCCAAGUGGUGACCACGUUUACUGGGCCUAAAGCGUUCGUAGCCGGCCAUGUAAAUUUCCUGUAAAAUCGUCAGGCUUAACCUGACGGCGUGCGGGAAAGACUGCAUGGCUAGGGAUCGGGAGGCGCAGGAGGUAUUCUAAGGGGAGCGGUAAAAUGUGAUAAUCCUUAGAGGACCACCGGUGGCGAAGGCGUUCUGCGAGAACGAGUCCGACGGUGAGGGACUAAGGCUGGGGGAGCAAACCGGAUUAGAUACCCGGGUAGUCCCAGCAGUAAACUCUGCGGGUAAGGCGUUGCUUUUCUGAUAAAGAUUAGCAGUGCCGAAGCGAAGGCGUUAAACCCGCCGCCUGGGGAGUACGGUCGCAAGGCUGAAACUUAAAGGAAUUGGCGGGGGAGCACACAAGGGGUGAAGUGUGCGGUUUAAUUGGAUUCAACGCCGGAAAUCUUACCAGGGGCGACGGCAGGAUGAAGGUCAGGUUGAAGGUCUUACCAGACACGCCGAGAGGAGGUGCAUGGCCGCCGUCAGCUCGUGCCGUGAGGUGUCCUGUUAAGUCAGGCAACGAGCGAGACCCAUACUCACAAUUGCCAACAGCUCUUUCGAGAGGACUGGGUACUUUGUGAGGACCGCUCCCGAAAGGGAGAGGAAGGUGUGGACAACGGUAGGUCUGUAUGCCCCGAAUCCCUUGGGCUACACGCGCGCGACAAUGGUAGGGACAAUGGGAUGCAACUCCGAAAGGAGAAGCCAAACCUCUAAACCCUAUCCCAGUACAGAUCGAGGGCUGUAACUCGCCCUCGUGAUGCCGGAAUCCCUAGUAAUCGGAGUUCAACAAGCUCCGGUGAAUAUGUCCCUGCUCCUUGCACACACCGCCCGUCAACCCACUCGAGUCGGGUCAGGGUGAGGCGUAAUCUCGGAUUAUUACGAACCCUGGCUUGGUGAGAAGGGGUAAGUCGUCACAAGGUAUCCGUAGGGGAACCUGCGGAUG